GUAUUGCCUCAGUAACGGCGAGUGAAGCGGCAAUAGCUCAAAUUUGAAAUCUGGCCUCUCGGGGUCCGAGUUGUAAUUUGUAGAGGAUGUUUUGGGUACCGCCCCGGUUUAAAUUUCUUGGAACAGAAUGUCAGAGAGGGUGAGAAUCCCGUCUUGGACCGGGGUAGGGCCUGUGUAAAACUCCUUCGACGAGUCGAGUUGUUUGGGAAUGCAGCUCAAAAUGGGUGGUAAAUUUCAUCUAAAGCUAAAUAUUGGCCAGAGACCGAUAGCGCACAAGUAGAGUGAUCGAAAGAUGAAAAGCACUUUGAAAAGAGAGUUAAACAGUAUGUGAAAUUGUUGAAAGGGAAGCGCUUGCAACCAGACUUGAGCGCGGCGGUUCCCCCAGCCUUUUGGCUGGGCUACUCCGUCGUGUCCAGGCCAACAUCGGUUCUGAGGGUCGGUUAAAGGCCUUGGGAAUGUAUCUACCCACGGGUAGACUUAUAGACCAGGGUGUCAUGCGGCCUCUCGGGACCGAGGAACGCGCUUCGGCUCGGAUGUUGGCGUAAUGGUUGUCAGCGACCCGUCUUGAAACACGGACCAAGGAGUCUAACAUCUAUGCGAGUGUUUGGGUGUCAAACCCGGAACGCGGAAUGAAAGUGAACGGAGGUAGGAAGCUUCGGCUGCACUAUCGACCGAUCCUGAAGUUUACGGAAGGAUUUGAGUAAGAGCAUAGCUGUUGGGACCCGAAAGAUGGUGAACUAUGCCUGAAUAGGGUGAAGCCAGAGGAAACUCUGGUGGAGGCUCGCAGCGGUUCUGACGUGCAAAUCGAUCGUCAAAUUUGGGUAUAGGGGCGAAAGACUAAUCGAACCAUCUGGUAGCUGGUUCCUGCCGAAGUUUCCCUCAGGAUAGCAGUAACGUUUUCAGUUUUAUGAGGUAAAGCGAAUGAUUAGAGGCCUUGGGGUUGAAACAACCUUAACCUAUUCUCAAACUUUAAAUAUGUAAGAAGUCCUUGUUACUUAAUUGAACGUGGACAUUUGAAUGUACCGUUACUAGUGGGCCAUUUUUGGUAAGCAGAACUGGCGAUGCGGGAUGAACCGAACGUGAGGUUAAGGUGCCGGAAUGCACGCUCAUCAGACACCACAAAAGGUGUCAAUGCAUCUAGACAGCCGGACGGUGGCCAUGGAAGUCGGAAUCCGCUUAGGAGUGUGUAACAACUCACCGGCCGAAUGCAUUGGCCCUGAAAAUGGAUGGCGCUUAAGCGUGCUACCUAUACCUCGCCGUUAGGGUUGACAUGAUGCCCUAACGAGUAGGCAGGCGUGGAGGUCCGUGACGAAGC
rnacentral:rRNA from 1 species